rnacentral:pre_miRNA from 1 species
AUAGUACUCCCUCCGAUCCAUAUUACUUGUUGCUCAAAUGGAUGCAUAUAGACGUAUUUUAGUGCUAGAUACAUCUGUUUGCGCGAUAAGUAAUAUGGAUCGGAGGGAGUAGAAU